rnacentral:rRNA from 1 species
GGUGCUCGAGUGGCGAACGGGUGAGUAACACGUGAGUAACCUGCCCUUGACUUUGGGAUAACUUCAGGAAACUGGGGCUAAUACCGAAUAGGAGCUCCUGCUGCAUGGUGGGGGUUGGAAAGUUUCGGCGGUUGGGGAUGGACUCGCGGCUUAUCGGCUUGUUGGUGGGGUAGUGGCUUACCAAGGCUUUGACGGGUAGCCGGCCUGAGAGGGUGACCGGCCACAUUGGGACUGAGAUACGGCCCAG